AUAAUUAAACAAAGUUGUGAUAGCUGGAAUAAUGAACAAAUCCAAGGAACUCCUUAAGAGCCCUAAAUAUUACAUAACAAGCAUCAAUAAGGACUGCCACAAAAUACAAAAAAAAACAAAAAAACACCAGUCUUUCAAACAGCAGACCAACUUCCACCAAACUUUCCAGCACUCCUCCCAGUCUUCACUUCAGCCCGGGACCAUUAAUCAAAAGAAGAAGAAUCAUCUUCACCUUCACUUGUAUCUUCACCAGCACCU
rnacentral:lncRNA from 1 species